CUUACUCUUGUUUCUUUAUGUUACCAUUCCCAUAGUCAGUCCUGGUUAUAGACUGACACAUGAAUGAGCGAUGUAACUGACCAGGGAAAUUUAAACUCCAAUGGGAAAACAUAAAAUGAUCAAAGCAAUGAGAAGCAAAGGGUUAAAAAUAGGGGUGGCCCGGGUCAUGGAUUGCCAGUGUGUCAGAAUAUGGAUGGCAGUCGAGAAAUGAAGAGAACUCAUACUAAAUUAGAACUAUGUGGCUCCUUAGGGUCCAUGGAGCAGAAAACACUGGAGAAGUUAAAAAUUAAGAUAGAGGGGUGUGUGUGUGUGUGUGUGUGUGUGUGUGUGUGUGUGUAUUAGGAAUGAGUACUUUUGUAGGUGGUAUUUAAGCAAAAAAAAGGGUGAUUAACUUUAGAUUAUUAAAUUUUAUACCACAUUGAUGAGGAUGGCUCUGGCAUCUAAUGAAGAGUUAAAAUGUAUAUAAAGGAAGAAUUCUUAAACUUAAAAAAAACAAAUUGUGAGUCAGGGAACUUUAAAGUCAUAUACAAAUUUAUUCAUUAACAAAUGUCAUUAUCUUUGAAUACUGAUACUUUGUUAGAAAUACUUUUAACUUAUUCAUAUUUGAAUAUAUUGGUGAAGAUAGUGUAAUAUUUAAUCACUGGCUUCCUAAGAUUUGUAUAGCCUGAUUAAAAAAAAUUAAAGACAAAUGAGCAAAGAGGAGAAAAUUAAAGUUGAAAAUUGCCUUUUGGAAUUUAAGUGACUUGUGAGAAUAAAGAGUAGAAAAGAUGACAAAAGCUAUGGGGGAAAAAUGUAUCACAUUCACUGUUAAAUAUCACAUUGAAUUGCUUUUCUUUCUAAAUAGGCAUCUUUCCUUUGCUCUUAGGAAUGAAGAGAAUGAAUUGAGCUGUCUAAGUGAUGGCAUUGGUUUUUUCUUUUAGUCAUACUGAUAAAAGAUAUUUUAAGUCUUUUCUGAUUAUGUGUUGCAUAAGAAAGCACUGGUUCAGCUAUCCCUUCCAUCAAAGGAAUACAGCAUUUUACGUGGGUUAACUUCUGAAUUAUAAAAUAUAUCAUCUGGUUUUUAAACUAGCGCAUACAUAUGUUAUAGAAAGAUAUCAGUUGCUUAAAAGUACAUGAACUAAUAUCUUGCAUUAGUUAAUUUCCCCUGAAGGGAAGACAGCUUGACUUUUUAAAACCUGCAUUCAGUAUUUAUGAACUAAGACUAUUCUUCUGGGGUGUAAAACCUUAUAACCCCAGAAUAACACAAUUUAAAUGUGUCCACCUGUCCUGUCAUUUGACAUAAACUGCAUGUAUAGCAAAAUAAUGGUUUUUGCUUGCUUCUUGGCUGACAGCAGGCGCUAUACGUAUUUUCACCUCCUAGUCACUUGGACAGGACACAUGACAUAAAAAGUUCCAGAUACUUGAUUUACAAAUGGAAUCCAAACUGAUUUGCUUGCUAAGAGAUUUCUGGCCUAAAUUCCAAAAAAUUUUCUCCAUGUCUCAUGCAUCUUUUAUUUAAAAUGUUGUUCAGUCACGAUUUUCGGUUAAUAUUUUUCAUGAGAUGUGUAAUUGGUUUCUGACUGUCUUGCUGAUAAAUGCUGAACAAACAGCUCUCUGAGAGGGAAAAAGAAUCAUCUUGAUUUAUUAUGUUUGCUGAUCUGUGGUAGAAAUACUAACACCAGGACUGAUUCCAAACAACCCAUAUGAGUGAGGUCACUGAGGGUGGAGGUGAGAAGAGAUACAUGCUCAUCAGCGAAUGCCAGCCAGUGCAAGCAGGCUUCUGCAGGGCUCCAGAUGGGACUUGCAUUCCAGAAUCCCAAAUUUCCCUGCUGGAAUUUGAGGGAGGCAGGCCCUGCAAGAUACAGGGUGGCUCUAGAUAUCUCCACCAGUUUUAGUGAAUGCGAUUGAUACAUGUGAGCAUAGCUGUGGGCUCCGGCUCUUCUUCCAUUCACACAGAAAUCCCUCAGUGACUCUGUGGUGAAUUUAAAAGCUAGAAGAGCCCAAUCAGGUGUGAGUCAAUGGAUGAGUGUCAAGCCAGGAACCAAGAGGUCACUGGUUCGAUUCCCUGUCAGGGCACAUUCCCUGGAUUGUGGGCUCAAUCCCCAGUAGGAGGCAUGCAGGAGGCAGCCCACCGAUGACUCUCUCUUCAUUGAAGUUUCUUUCCUCCCUUCCUCUCUGAAAUCAGUAAAAAUAUAUAUUGUUUAAAAAGCUAAAAGAAGUGUUAAAUGUUAAGUAAAUCAUCUCUGUUUUCCAGCACCUCCCUUUGCUUCAUCUGCAGGCACAUAGGACUCAUGCUAUAAAACUCAAAGCAGAACAAUGCUCGGAGCACAUUCCCAGGAGAGAUUUAGGAAAUUAUAAUCUUGUUGCCUCUGGAAAACAUUGGCCUUUUUCCUCCUUGUCUUGCUGCUCCCAGGAUACCUGCUUGUCAAGUGUUCAGUAGGUUCUUUGGGUUUUUGUCAUGGCAACUGAGUACCUUGGCUCGGGUCCUGAGGGUUUCCAAAUGUUUCAUUAUCUCUUGUUUUCAAUGCUUAUUCUGUCACUUUUUAGGAUGUUCACCCUGACACUUCUUGAUUAGGCCUCUUUCCUAUGCUUAUAACCAGGGUAGUAUUCUGUUAUUUCUCCCUUCCUCCAGUAUUUUCACAUUUAUUUGAAGCAAGGGCAGCUCACUUUCCCUCCCUCGUUAUACCAUAAUAGAACAAAACAUAAUAGAAGCCCCACACCCACAUCUCAGACCCUUGGUGGUUAAGAUAAGUGAUAGCUCAAAAUAGUACACCCAUCCAGUAAUUGUUUGCUGUUAGGUCAAUACAAUUUUCACUUUUUUAAAUGGGUAGAAUCUGGUAUGAACAAACCUUUCCCUGCUUAUGCCAUUUAGGUCAGUCCCUCAUGUUGCAGUAUCCUUUUCUUCUUCCUUUCCUGAUCCCUGUCUGUCCUUUCGACACAUCUUGGGGAGCACCCUCUCUGUGAGGUCUGCUUUAAUUCGCCUACCUGCUCCCCGCCCUAAUUAGGUUAGCUCGUGUUCUGCGUGGGGUCCAGCACUCUGCUGACCCUCUGUCAGUACUUGCACAUUUAUUAUAAUUGCUGCUAUUUUCCUCCCAAAAUGUCAUGGAGAAAUUUCAAACCCAGCAAUGUGGCAAUACCAGCAACAUAAAUAUCCAUAUACCAUCUACAUGGGUUUCCCCAGUAGAUGUAUGCCUUCAUGUACUCUUUCUUUUUUUCUGAAUCCAGAAGGAAAUAAGUUGCAGGUAUUCACUCUUUGUAUUAGGCAGCUCUUCCUGACUAACAAAGGAGCUCCCUGACUUUGGAUUUAAGUAUACACAAUCAUUUUUGAAGUUUUAUUUCUUGAUUUGUUCAUUCAUCAAAUACUAAUUAAACUAGCUACUAUGUUUAGCUAAACCUGGAAGGUUUUGAUGAGUAGCUAGCUUGAUUAAAAAUAUGUAGAUAAUUGAGGAUGGUUAGUUCCUAAGGAGAGGAUAAAAUGUUACCUUGCUAAAUGAAAAAAGAACCUGUGAAAGUACCCUCACUCAUCAAUGCAUUCACUCAUUUGUUCAGUCACCGACAUUUGUUGUCUGUCCUAUACCAGGCAGUGCCAGGGGCUCUUAAUGUUCACAGACCAGGCUGCUUAUCUAUGAGAUUUCAGUUGCACGCAGGAGGGAGGCAGUCAGCGAAUACCCUGGAAUAUGCUCCUUGAUGGAGGUCCCCAGGGUGGUAGGGACACUCGGCAAAGGAGGGCAGGCUAGGCUUUCAGAGUGAUUCCAGUGAAAUGUGGGCAGGAAUUUGAAGGAUAAGAAUAAGGAGUAAAUUAGGCGGAUACAAAGAGGAAAAGCACAUUGGAGACUGAAGCAUCAGCAUAUUUCAAGUCAAAGGAGCACGAAAAAAGUAUGGGAUGAUCCAGGAUCUGCCAGCAGCUUGCUGUAACUGCAGUGGCAGUUGCCAAGGGGCAUUUGCGAGAAAAGGGAACAAACACACAGGGCUGGAGGCGGAGGCCCAAGCAGUGAGGGACUUUCUGAGUUCAACUCCGGGGUUGAAGCUUUCCCUGAAAGCCAUGGGAAACCAUUGAGUGACUCAGGUGGGACAGGGUUAGAUAUCUGAUUGGCAUUUCAGUAAACUUAUCCUAGAAGAGACUGUGAACAGGACAAAGCUUAAUAUUUCUAAUUUAGCAGACUAACUAUUGCUCGAUUAGGACUAACUCAAAGAAUACAAGGGAUUCAAUGGCAGGGUUAGGUAAUUACUGUGCAUGUAGUAAAUUAAUCAAAUUAUUGUUUCCUCAACUCAUGUCUCUUACCCAAAAACGAAUUUUAUUUUCUUUCAGACAUUUUGUCCUAAGACAACUGACAUGUAAUUUUUUUUUUUUUUAAAUGUAUUGCUCACAGCAAGGAGUUAGUAGUCUCUGCAGUUAAUAUUGCUAGGGGGGAAAAAGACACAAAUUGGAAAGGUGGGUAGCUAUUAUUAGACACACCUGGUUCUGCCUGGGACUGGGUGUCAUUUUAAAUAUUUUAUUUCUUGCUGCAGAACGCUUUCUGCUGAGUAAGUGAACGGGAAUGAAUCAAUGAAAACCUGCCCGUGAUUCUGGAGAUCUUAUAAUGGAUGCCAUGUUUUUGUUUAUUGGGACAAUGAGGCUGAUUGACUUGCAGAUUGCAGCAGCUCUGACCAAGCUCCCAGUGCUGCAUUCCUGGUCUCCAUGCUCACUGCAGUGCCUUGGGGCUGCUCUGCAGGAUCAGAGGGCCAGGAGUGAGUCUGAGGCAGCACUGGCAGGGGUCACUGGUGCGGAUGUUUAAAGUCUGUGAGAGAGACUG